rnacentral:rRNA from 2 species
UACGGAGGAUGCGAGCGUUAUCCGGAUUUAUUGGGUUUAAAGGGUGCGUAGGCUGUUUCGUAAGUCGUGUGUGAAAGGCGCGGGCUCAACCCGCGGACGGCACAUGAUACUGCGAGACUAGAGUAAUGGAGGGGGAACCGGAAUUCUCGGUGUAGCAGUGAAAUGCGUAGAUAUCGAGAGGAACACUCGUGGCGAAGGCGGGUUCCUGGACAUUAACUGACGCUGAGGCACGAAGGCCAGGGGAGCGAAAGGG